UAUCAUCAAGAUAUGCCAUGCCAAUAUGUUUUUGUCUUCUGAAUAUUGCCAGAGCUGGUUUUAGUAUCUUGGUGAAUAAUCUUGGGCUGAUGUGAAUCCAUUGGGUAACGCUUUAAACUGCCAUAGCUGCCCCAUUCAGGUAAAUUUCAGGUAUCUGCGAUGAUCCUUGUGAAUGGUACUAAAUAGUAAACAUCUUUAAGAUCAAUGCUUGCCAUGAAGUAUCCUUUGGAAAUUAGUUGUUUGGCAGUAACAACCAUUUCCAUUUUGAAAUGUAUAUACUUAACAAACAUAUUUAGUGAAGUUAAGUCAAUGAUGAUACGACAUCCACCAUCUUUUUUGGGUUUAGUGAAUAUAUUUGAUACGAAUUCCAAGGGUUCAUGUUUUCCCAUGAUACCCUUUGUAAUUAGUCUCACCAGUUCAGCUUGUCCCUCUCAUUUCUUUAACGGAGAGAGGAAAAUACCCUCUGGGAUGAAUGUUGAACUGGUGGCAAUUUUUCCAGUAUGAAUUGUAUUUGUAUUCACUAAUGCCAUUGAGUAUAUACUGAUCACUCGUGAUAGACUCUCGUGCUUCUUUAAACAGGUGUAAUCUCCCCCCUGUUAGUAUUAAGCCCCUAUUCUCUGUACGCUGGUAGGAACCAGACCCACCUACCUCCAUGGUUAUGGGUAUUCUUCUGUUUCCUGCCGGUCCAACGAGUCUUGCACGUUGUCUGAUGUGGCGGUGACAUUGGGGGGUGGCGCAUUUUCCAUGGGGUCCGCUCUGGGCCCUGGUCUAAAGAAGACUUCCGGUGAUAGAAUGCGGACCCCAAGCUUUACACCAGUCCCAUAUGGUAGAGAUCGACUGAUGGACGCGAUGGGGUGCUGCUGCUUAGGAAUUAUUGUUUUUGAUUUGCUCGUCCCGGGGCCUGCCCUCAUGAGACCGAAAGUUUUUUAAGGCCUCUUCCAUAUCCUUCAUAUGCUUUGUGAGGUUUUUGCCAAAGUGCAGUGGGUCUGGCUCAGUGGCUGGGGUAUGCACAACCCCGCAAAUUUAGGAUUUUACGGCAGGUCUUAUGAUUUGCUUACGAAGGUUGUGAUCAUCUCCGUAUUUGUCCACGGAACGAGCAAACGAUGUGAUGGCUGACGUCAAGAGCCUGAGGAUCUGCUGCAGUUUUAGCUCCUGUUUCCGAAUAUUUGCCCCAACGUGCCCCCACUUUUGGCUGUUUACAGCCGGCACUUUAAGGGACUCACAGUUCUCUGGAGCUGUAUACGUUUCUAAGGCCUCAUUAACCACCUCUCCUGUAGGGGCCUGUUGGAGAGGUGGUCAAUGCUGGCCGUUGGUUUGGCAUUUAACGGCCUCCUGCACGUGGGGUUGCCACAUAGCGGUCCAUCACACCUAGCAGCUCUUCCUGUUCCUGCACCCCUUGCACUCCCGAGAUCUUCAGCCAGGACUCUUCUUGACCAGCCCAGUCCUGGUCACCAAAGCUACCCUCAGAUAAGGAGGAAGCAAUGGGCAGUGCACAAGGCACUGUGAAGGGAGUGCCUGAACUCACGUGACUCCGAAGUAAAAUUACUUCAAGCCACAGCUCACUCUGCCAACUACACAUAGAAUCUGAUUACAUAAGAUCAAAGCAGAGCAUAUUGAAAAUCUUGGCUUUGGUCCAGCAUGGAUCCAAAUGGAUUUGGGAAACUGAAUUUGAAAUAACAAUGCUUCUAUCGUUGGAGACUACGAGCAUUAUCAGCAAUGUGUUAGGAGAGAAAUGAAGAAACCACUAUGCUGAGAAGCCCAAUACAAGAGGAUUAGACAAGAGGAUGUUCUUUCUUUUCCUGGAAACACUUUGGUAUCUGCCAAACCAAUUUAAUCAGCCAGUUUGUGGAGGUCAAUAAAUAUUUCAUACAAGUACAUAUUGCAGGGAAAUGCAGGAAUGGAUGAGGUUCAAAAUCUCAUGCAUGGCAUUUACACAUGCACACCUGGGGAAUCAUUUGUAGCAGAUAGAGAUACGAUUGGUAAUGAAAACUAUCAUUGGUGACAAGGUAAAUGUAGGGAAGGUAGUUAACAUAGAGGGAGAGGGGGAUUGGUAAACAAUGGGAGGUCAGAUUGGUAAACAGCUAGAUGAAAUGAGUAAUUAUGGAGCUGUAGGAAUGUUGAAUAGUGAAAGUAGUACAGAUGAUUGGAGAGGUAUUGGCGAUCAGGAGAUUUAGAUUUUAGACUUAGAGCACAGAAACAGGCCCUUUGGCCCACCGUGUUCCCACCGACCAGCAGUCACCUAGUACACUAACCUACACACUUUGCAACUUAUCGAAGCCAAUUAACCUACAAACCUGUAUGUCUUUGGAGUGUGGGAGUAAAGCGGAGCACCCAGAGAAAACCCACAUGGUCACAAAGGGCAUGUACAAACUCAGUACAGACAGAACCCGUAGUCAGGAUGUGGCUUUGGACUAACAAUCUCUAGGAUGAACAAUGGACCCUCAACGUAGAAUCAUAUAGUCAUACAGUGUGGAAACAGGCCCUUCAGCCCUACUUGCCCAUACCAGCCAACAUGUCACAGCUACGCUAGUCCCGUGUGUGUUUGGUUCAUAUCCCGCGGAACCUGUCCUAUCCAGGUACCUGUCUAAUUGUUUCUUAAAUGCUGGGAUAAUCUCUGCCUCAACUAGCAGUUUGUUCCAUACACCAUCCUCUGACAGUUUGUUCCAUACACCCACCAUGCUUUGUGUGAAAAAGUUACCCCUCAGAUUCCUAUUAAAUCUUUUCCCCUUCACCUUAAAGACAUGUCCUCUGGCCAUCGAUCCCCCUACCCUGGGCUAGGAGACUCUGUGCAUCUACCCAAUCUAUUCCGCUCAGUUUCUUUAAUCAGUCUCUGGAGUAGGAUAUGGAUUUACUUCAGAAUUUUGAAUCUGAAUUGUGGAGUUGAGCUUUGAAUGAAUGACCUGAAUUGGGUGCUGGACUGGGGCUGAAUUUACCUCCCACAUCAUGUUCUGCAGUGGAGCUUUGAACCAGCACUCUCCUGAAUCAGCAGAUGCAACUGUUCCACUCCUUAUAAACAUCUGAAAUUAACUUUGGUUAAUUAUUGUCAUGUGUACUGCAGUACAGUAAAAAAAUUCUGCUUUGUUUGCUAUCCAAGUAAGUCAUCUAUACACAAAUGCCACCAAACCAUAUACGAGCUAGCAGUGCUCCAACUGAUGAAUUUGUUUUAAUGCAGAAUGGUUACGUCUGGUCUAAACACAGCCAUAGGGAGAAUAAUCUUUUUUGUUCUCUUGUUCUCUACUUCUGUCUUUGUAGAGUAGAUAUCGUUGUGAAGACACUUGCAAAACUGCUUCACGUGGAGCACUGGGAUCUUUUACAGAACAAGCAAGCAGGGAGCUAUGGAAUGGGCACCAAGAUCCCUCUGCACAUCAGUUCUGUUAGGGUCAUGUUUCCAGUCGGGACCCUUCUGACUAAAUGGAGCUGCUGAAAGCUUACAUUUUCUCAGCGGGAGAUCAAAAAGAUUCAAAGCCACAUCAUGUGUGAAAUGACUGGCAGCUUUGGGACUGCUAAAUCCUAAAAGGAAAGCAUUUGUAGAAGCAAAACCACAGUUGAUAUU